GGACCCAUCAAUCUUGUUCCUUCCCACACCCGGGAGGGGGCAAGGGCCUUACUCCGGCCAAGCCACCUGGGCCCCCGGGCCACAUGCCCCACCUGCUCUCAAUGCCGUGCCGCCAAAAGGCCUUGGGCAAGUGGGAGUGAAGCACCCAUCCAUCUCUUUCCGCCUGCCCCCCCUCCUUGCCCUCCUCGUCCCCCUCACCCACCCCGUCCCCCUCCCCCCUCCCCCCGCUCCUCCCCCGCUCCUCCCCCUCCUCCCCCUCCUCCCCCUCCUCCCCCUCCACUCCGCCUCCUCCCUUUCCCUUCCCCCUCCUACCCCUCCCCUCCCUCUCCUCCCCUUCUCCUCCCCCCUGCCCCCUCCCCCCUCUUCCCCCCUCCCCCUUCCCCCCUCCCCCUUCCCCCUCCCACCUUUCCCCCUCCCCCCUUUCCCCCUCCCCCCUUUCCCCCUCCCCCCUUCCCCUCCUCCCCCCUCCCCCCCUCCCACCCUCCCCCCGCUCCCCCGACCCCUCCCCCUCUCCUGCCCCCCCCUCCCCCCUCCCCCUCCCCCUCCCCUCUCCUGCCCCCCUCCCCCCUCCCCUCUCCUGCCCCCCUCCCCCUCCCCUCUCCUGCCCCUCCCCCUCUCCUGCCCCUCAUCCUCUCCUGCCCCUCAUCCUCUCCUCUCCUCCCCCUCGCCCUCUCCUCCCCCUCCCCCCCUCUCCUCCCCCUCCCCCCUCCUCCCCCUCCCCCCUCCUCCCCCCUCCUGCCCCCUCUCCCCCCACACACCUCGCCCUCCCCCCUUCCCCUGCUGGCAAGCAGCCCACAGCCUAGUGUCAAAACGGGGAAGUGCGCUCUGUGGGGGCCCCUGUGCCGGCGGGUCCCCUCGCCCAGGGCCACUGCUCCUGGGGCAGCGCAGGCAGCUGUGACCAAGAGGAAACUGCUGCGCCCCCAAUACCAGGGUAUUCGGGUGGCCGGGGGAUGGGCCCUACCCUGGCCAAGCCACCUGGGCCCCCGGGCCACAACCCACACCUGCUCUCGACGCCCGGCCACCAGCAGGCCUUGUGCAAGUGGGAGUGAGGUGCCCAUCCAUCUCUUUCGGCCUCCUCCUCCUCCUCCUCCUCCUCCUCCUCCUCCUCCUCCUCCUCCUCCGCCGGCCCUGACCCCUGAGCCGGGUUUCCUGGCCUCGUCCAGGGACAGCUUCUCCCAUGACGCGAUCGAGUCGCCGCUCCAGGCCUCCGGGCGAGAUAAAAGGACUGUGCUGACCGGGGACGGAGGGAGCAUCGGAAUGGCCUUCAGGACACAGGCGCGAGGGUGGCGGGCCGGGCCCUGGCUGGCCCUGAGCAGGGCACGCGCACUGGGCACCCGAGCCGCUCGAAACCAGGGCGGUGCUGCCCUUCGAAGCCGUGCCCCGCUGUCCUGGCAACAAGUGGAUGCGAGUGCUGCAGAUCUGGAGGCAGCAGGGCUCUGA
rnacentral:lncRNA from 1 species